rnacentral:rRNA from 1 species
AGGACGAACGCUGGCGGCGUGCCUAAUACAUGCAAGUCGAACGGUCUUUCUAUGGAAGCUUGCUUCCACUGAGAAGAUAGUGGCGAACGGGUGAGUAACGCGUGGGUAACCUGCCCAUAAGAGGGGGGAUAACAUCCGGAAACGGGUGCUAAUACCGCAUAGUUUUCUUGAUCGCAUGAUCGGGAAAGGAAAGACGGCCUUUGUGCUGUCGCUUAUGGAUGGACCCGCGGCGUAUUAGUUAGUUGGUGAGGUAACGGCUCACCAAGACGAUGAUACGUAGCCGACCUGAGAGGGUGAUCGGCCACAUUGGGACUGAGACACGGCCCAAACUCCUACGGGAGGCAGCAGUAGGGAAUCUUCCGCAACGGACGAAAGUCUGACGGAGCAACGCCGCGUGAGUGAAAGAAGGUUUUCGGAUCGUAAAACUCUGUUGUCAGAGAAGAACAAGUUGGAGAGUAACUGCUCCAGCCUUGACGGUAUCUGACCAGAAAGCCACGGCUAACUACGUGCCAGCCGCCGC